AGUCCUGUAUAGAAAUAUAUUUCUGCUCAUAAAAUGAUUUUGCUCUGUGCAGACAUCAGUGGAACCUAACUGUGUGCUCCAGAUUUUUCAUGUGUUUUCUUGGUAAUUUCUUGAACGGGACCGUUACUGGGUGUUUUGCUGAAGCAUAUUCUCAACCAACCCAGAGAUCUCCUGACAGAUAUGUUAUUUCUGUCUUACUUAUAUUGUGGUGUUUCAAUGGAGAAAUGAUUUAAACUUCUCAGAGGACACCGGGAAGACUAAGAGUGAUAUGAAGAACUUCCUUGACUUUUCAGUGCUGAUACAGAGUACUCGGAAAAAUCAAUACAGCUUCUCCAGGAUAUCAACUCUGCAGAUUCCUACAGAAGAGCAAGAGACAAAGAGAAAGAAUAAUAGGGCUAGACUCAGAGGAGAAAUCAUCAUUGUCCUUCAGAAUCCAACCUUAAGUGAAAAGCUUGCUUCCCUGAUGGGAGCUGGAUUCUCUUAAGAGCCAAG
rnacentral:lncRNA from 1 species